UCAGGAUGGAUGAUUGUUUUAAUGUGUU
rnacentral:piRNA from 1 species